GACGGCUGUCACCAACAUGGGACGUGUUUCCUCCUGCAGCCGAGCUUCCUCAUCUGUCUCAGGUAAGACCACUGCUUUCAUAUCUCACUCUUAAUUAACAAAGACACGCUCCACACUCUGGUCUGUGGUGGAGACUGGUCUGGACCCACUGGGGUUGGACACACAUGAGACCAGGAGAGUCCCAUGUGAGCUUGGAUUCCUCGGUUGCCCUCAGCGGAUCUGUUUCACAGCUGAAACACUAAUUUUUAGGGGACAUUUUAAUAUGAAACUUAUGGACUGGUGAAGGACAUUCCCAUGAAGACAACCUGUGUGUUCAGCUUCAUGUACUGGAAUAUCACUGGAGUUACACAUCCUGUUUGACUGGAUGAGCUUUCAAUGGACCCUCCGUCAUAUGAUGAAGCCAGGUUCCACCCACCUACUCUGAGCACCCACGACCACGCCCUCCACUACCCCCCUCCCCCCUCAUAUGAUGCCUCCCUGCCCUCCCCCUCCACACCCCCUCCCACCUACGGAGAGGCAGUUACCAUCCAGCCAGAUCCUUAUCCUGUCCUGACCGUACCCACAGUGACCCACAGUGUACCAGUGCCUCCACAAAACACUGGAGUCAUAAUCCAUCCAACAACCCAAAUUGGUGUGAAUCGGACUGUAAAUGUCACACGGUCCCAGCCGGUGGUCCUGUCCCAGCCACAGUCCACCAUACACCUGAAGGAUACACCUGGCAUCAUAAACUGCCCCCACUGUCACCGCACCGUCACCACCAAAGUAACAUACGUCCCUGGGAAGUCGGCGUGGUGUCUGUGCAUCCUACUGUCAGUGAUGGGGUUGGUUUGUGGAAUCUGUCUUAUUCCCCUCAUGGUCCGAGGGCUCCAAGACGCACAUCACUCCUGCCCAUACUGUGAAAGUCAGAUACAUGUUUACUCACGGUAAAGUUCAGAGAAAAGAGUCAAAUAGAAAACAGCCAGAAUAGGGCACAUGUUCAGAUUAGCACAAGAAUGGAAAGUCAGAGGACUGGAAGGUUUAUUUAAACAUCUUCUAAUGCAUAUUGACAGACUGUUCAGGAACAGUUGGACAGGCUUUUAUGAGAUGGUUUAUCUCUGCUGUAAAUAUAAAAAAAGUCACUGUUUUACUGAAUGAGCCUCUGUACGCUAUAACACACAGGUGUCAAACAUGCAGCCCGGGGUCCAAAUCUGGCCCACCAAAGGGUUUAGUCCGGCCCUUUGGAUGAAUAUGUGAAAUGCAAAAAUGACGCUUAUUAACAAUCAUUUUAGUUCAGGUUCCACAUUCAGACCAAUAUGAUCUAAAGUGGGUAGGAUCAGUAAAACACUGUUGUAGUAACCAAUAAAUACUCAUUCAUUCAUUCAUUCAUUCAUUCAUUUUCUGAACCUGCUUUAUCCUCACUAGGGUCACAGGGGGUCACUGGAGCCUGUCCCAGCUACUUAUGGGCAACUCCAAAUUUUUCUCUUUGUAAAUGUACUGUACUUUCCAGACUACUGGCCACACCUGACUCCACCCUGUCUCCAACCUCACCAUCGAUUCAUUGAUGCCAAGCUUACAUACAGCAGCUCCAUGUGUUUCUUUGACAGCCAGAUCGAUCAUUAGCCCAGAAAACAUAAAUUAGCCGCAAAAUUUUUGAGCCGCAGGUUCACAGCGUGUGGAAAAAAGUAACAGUUUACAGACCAGAAAUUACGGUAAACAUUUUCAUGUAUUUACACUAAAACAAAGUAUAAUUUCGCAAAAACCGUGAAUAACCUGAAGAAAUAUGAACAACCUGAAAUAUCUUAAGAGAAGUAAGUGCAAUUUUAAUAAUAUUAUGUCUGUAAAUGAUAAACUGAAGCCUAAUAUUGUUAAAACUGCACUUAUUCUUUCAGUUUGUUCAUGUUAUUCACAUCAUUUUAAAGGAUAGUUUGUAGAUAUAAACAUUUUCAUAUUGAAAUUUUACUUUUUUCACUCCAAAACAUAGAAAAAAGUUUGGAGUUGACAUGAUUUAUAUAAUAUUAUGUUAUUAUUUUACUGGUCCGGCCCACUUCAGAUCAAAUUUAGCUAACUGUAGGCCCUGAACUAAAAUGAGUUUGACACCCCCGCUAUCACAGAUCCAAAUACCAGCGUUUUGACUGUAAUCUCUCAUAUGGGUUAGCGUUUGAUGCUAAAACGUUUCGGAGGAUUUGUGAUCAAACUCCAUCUGCGCCAUGAUAAAACUAUAGAUUACACUUGAUUCAGUGGAGGUGGAAGCAUUUCUGAAACAUGAGCCAAAACAGGAUAAAGAACACUUUUUGCACUGUCAUUCGACCAUACGAGGCAAAUGAGGAAGUGGAACCACACAGAUUCAGACAGGAACAACAUGCAACAAGACAAUAAACACAGACAUUUAUGACGAAUAAGGUGAUGACAACCAUACACUCAUGUCUAUUUCUAUAUUUAAAUGCGAAAAGAAUUAAAUUAAUGUUUAUGAGGUCGAGUCAUCCAGACCUUUACAGCAAAGACAAAAGUAGGAUGAUAGAUUGACUGUCUGUGCUGCAAAGAUGCACACACUAUAAUUUACACAUAUUACUUCAAAUAUAAAACCAGAUAUUGCUUUAUAAACUGGUUUGCAAACUUCUUAAUGAGUCAUUUCACUUUCCUCAGAAGCCAGAACAUGACAGCUGUUGAGAAAUAUUCAUCUCUACUUAUAAAUUGAAAGUUUUUACCCUCUAACCCACUGUGAGUGAUGUUUAGAAAACCAGGUGAAGCUGCUGUUGGAUGAUGUGGUGGUGAAUUACUGCUGGAUCUAUGCACUGCACUGACUGAUUACAACCCAUUCUUCACCUGCUGUUGUUGGAUUAAUGUGCAAUGUUUAAUGCAAGGUUUCCCUGCCAUGGUGUUUUCAAGCUUCUGUAAUUAACUGAAAAUUAUGUGUUAUUAUGUAUCAUUCUAUCAUGUUGAUAGAGCAAUAAAAUACCCUUGGUUACUUUAACUGAACAGUGCAUUUUUAUUGAUUUUUACUUUCCAUUCAUCUGCGCUGGCAGGUGGAUGUGAUGUGAAGUCAUUCUGUGCACGCAAACAUUCCUUUAAUAAGUUACAUUUAUAACCUUUAGGACAGUGUUCUUCAACCUCAGGGUGGGGUCACCUGGA
rnacentral:lncRNA from 1 species